GAAAAUUAUUGCUACCAGCUGCUAAUUCCCACAUUUCCAGACCUACGAAUUGUUUAUCUCUCCAUACUUUCCACCUUUCCGUAGCUAUGUAAACAAUUUGUAGAUAUUUCAAUUUGCGGAACACAACAUCUUCAUUUAGCCUCCAAUAUUUUCCAUUGAAUGAGCGAUACCCUUUGAGCACCUCAAGAUUGGAUAAAUUAGCCAGCAAAUUCACAACUUCCCAUGGUAUACAAGUAUCUAGUAAUAUCAAUUUCUUGAUAUUACUACUAAAUGUCAUUUUCUUGAUUUUACAAGGCAAAAUAUCUCCGGAGAAAAUGUUGAUGUCAAUGCUCUCCAGCUUUAUGAGUA
rnacentral:misc_RNA from 1 species